rnacentral:rRNA from 1 species
AUUAGAUACCCUGGUAGUCCACGCCGUAAACGAUGUCGACUUGGAGGUUGUGCCCUUGAGGCGUGGCUUCCGGAGCUAACGCGUUAAGUCGACCGCCUGGGGAGUACGGCCGCAAGGUUAAAACUCAAAUGAAUUGACGGGGGCCCGCACAAGCGGUGGAGCAUGUGGUUUAAUUCGAUGCAACGCGAAGAACCUUACCUACUCUUGACAUCCAGAGAACUUUCCAGAGAUGGAUUGGUGCCUUCGGGAACUCUGAGACAGGUGCUGCAUGGCUGUCGUCAGCUCGUGU